AUGAAACAUUUGAUGGGAGCAUCUCUUGGUCCAGGCUACCUGCUUGAGAGAGAUGGGGAAGGUGAGCCGCCCGGACACCUCGGGAACGCGGACGAUCUCCCUGACAACACCCCUCCAGGUCCGGCAGACGCCGGCGCACGCCACCACGUCGCGGCGGCGCGGCCACCGCGGCUCCGACGCCUCGACCCGCGCCAGCACCUCCCGCAGGAGCUCCGGCGGCAGCUCCGCCCAGCAGCAGCCCUGCCGCGCGGCCUCCUCCUCCGUCGCCACCGCCGCCACCCGCCGGACGCCGCGCGCCGACGGAAGCGGCCGGCGCCGGGCGAUGGCGUCCACCUCGCCCUUCAUCUCCCGGACCAUGCUCCUGAAAGACAUCGCCUUCUCCGCCCGCCCCCGGCGGCCAAAUCCGCCCAAUCCCCCACCGAAUCCUGCCAAGAAACCGCGGUUCCAAGCAAUCCCACCAACUUAUGGCACAAAAAAGGUGCCGCUGGGAUGUCAACGGAUUGCAAUUCUCUGCAGCGGCGGCAUCAAUAUGGCAUGGACGGAUGUGGGUGGGAGAUGGUUGCUGCUGCCUUUGGGUAG
rnacentral:rRNA from 1 species